AUCGACAAAUAGAACCUGAAUUCACAUAUUUUAAAGGGUUUUCAUUUUUGUUAGUGAACCUUUUACAAUGUGUGAAUUUUUUCUCUUUGAAGAAUAAAAAACAUGUUAAUAAUUUUUGGAGGUAUUUCACAAUGGCUACUGGUACAGUAAAAUGGUUUAACGCAGAAAAAGGUUUCGGUUUCAUCGAAGUUGAAGGCGGCAACGAUGUAUUCGUUCACUUCUCCGCAAUCCAAGGCGACGGCUUCAAAACUUUGGACGAAGGUCAAGCAGUUGAAUUCAGCGUAGUUCAAGGCAACCGCGGUCCACAAGCUGAGAACGUUGUAAAACUGUAAUAUAAUUAAAAAGACUGCCUUUACGUAAGUAAUGGCAGUCUUU
rfam:Paenibacillus pectinilyticus strain KCTC13222 scaffold12, whole genome shotgun sequence.